AGCAGGUCCCAAGGGUUUGGCUGUUCGCCAAUUAAAGCGGUACGUGAGCUGGGUUUAGAACGUCGUGAGACAGUUCGGUCCCUAUCUGCCGUGGGUGUCGGAAAAUUGAGAGGAGCUGCCCCUAGUACGAGAGGACCGGGGUGGACGUACCUCUGGUGGACCAGUUGUCGUGCCAACGGCACAGCUGGGUAGCUAUGUACGGACUGGAUAACCGCUGAAAGCAUCU
rnacentral:rRNA from 14 species